rnacentral:lncRNA from 1 species
CUGGGACUGGUUCCAAGACCUCCUCAGGGCACACCAAACUCAGCCCCUGAACGGCAGAGGCUCUGAGCUAAAAGAAUUGAAGCAGCAGAGAUGUUCUCUCCUCCUUCUGGAACCCCUGGUUCUGCAGCUCAGCUAAGUCUCGGAUUCUGCCCUCUUGUGGGUCUAGAAAUGACUGGAGAGCCUUCCUGGAUUCGGGAAGAGUGGACAAAGGCCAAGAAGGGCAUGUAGAGAGAAAAGAAUGAAUCCAAGGGAGGCGCAACCUUUCUGUGCCUUCACAGGCCUUGAAGAUGCAAGCUGCCAUGAGUUGUGUAGCUGCAAGGAGCUGAACUCUGCCAACAAACACCUGUCCUUGGAGUAGGACCCCAGCCUCAUGUGAGACCUCAGCCCCAGGUGUCACCUUGAUUGCAGCUUUGAAGAACCCAAAGCACGCCUGGACUCCUGACCCAUGGAAACAGAUAAUAAAUGUGCGUUGUUCAAAGUUUCCAUGUUUGUAGUCAUUUUUCACACAACAACAGGAAACUAAUACAAACAUUGUUUUAAGAAUCCAAAGUAAACCCGGCCCCCACCCUAUCCCGCUUACUCUCUCCUGCAGCACCGGGCUCUCUUCCUGAUCGCAAAUGAUCACCGUUUGCAAUCAUAUAUGUCUGCUUGCUUGUUAUUACCCUUCCACUAGUCUGUGAGCAAAGGAGGAUGGAGACCACGUGUGUUUUGUCACCACUGUAUACCUAGCACAGAGCCUGGCACAGAGUAGAGUUCUCAGCAAAAAAUAUGUGAUUGGUGAACUGCUGAAUUAACAAGGAACCCCGGCAGGAAAUGGACACAUGCUUACAGAACACAGGGUGGUAUUACUCCUGGACCUAUGAGGACCCUUAACACCCACAGGAGAUUCGCCUAGAGAGUUUCAUAAAUGCUCAGAGUCAUGAC